rfam:Homo sapiens chromosome 3, GRCh38 reference primary assembly.
GGCUGGUCUGAUGGUAGUGGGUUAUCAGAACUUAUUAAUAUUAGUGUCACUAAGGUUGAUAUAUAACCCCCCACUAAAUUUGACUGGCUUAAA